GGCAAGCUAGGAAGGCUGCUGUGAAAAUUCUGGCGGCUGCAGCAGAGGUUCCGGUGUGCCUGAGCAGAGGCUGCAUCUGAGCUUUGAGCAAAGAAGAACCAUCAGGUUUAAUUCUUCAUUGUCAAAGUUCCACAGAGCUGGGUCAUAGAAUACUGUUGCAUCCACAGCCAGGACAUCCUAGAGCUCUCUCGGCUUUGUUGGUAAGGGUGUCUUUUAAGGUGAGUGUCCUCUGGCAUCUACUGGCUCCUGCCCUUCUGAGAGUCCCUCCCUCCCUCCCUCCCUCCCUCCCUCCCUCCCUCCCUCCCUCCCUCCCUCCCUCCCUUGACUGCCCUGGUGCCCUGGUUGGGGAUCUCUUCCUCCUGUUCAUUUCUUUUACCCUCCCUGCACUGGUGUUCAGAGAAAAUGGGGAGAGUGAAGAAAGAGGUCUGAAUCAGCAAGGGAAACGCAUGUGCCAGAGAACAAGUACCUAGUCCCUGAAGUAGUGAGUGCCUGUGUUGUGGCUUCAGGAGUCAAAAAAGCUGGAAUUUGUUAGUAGGGAGAAAAGUACUUUAUCAGAAACACAUUGGCUGCUGGAGAAGCUGUGGGAUUGCCUUGUUAAAGGUGGUUUCGGAGAAGGGAGGAAAGGAGGGAGAUGGAGGCAGCCCCCCAGUCUUAAAGCAGAGGACAGACCUGCACAGGCAGAGGCACCUGACACCGUAGGUGGUGGUGAGUGGCGUUGCUUCUCCAGCCCAUGGACUCUGACCUAAUAAACCACCUUCUCUGCCCCUGAAAACAAGUGCCCGGCGCCCACCAUCCUGGGCUGUGCUGCAGAUGUGUUUUCUUUCAAAAGAGGGAGAUGUUAGAUCAUCGGAAAGGGGCCUCCACAAACGUCAGAACCUAGUCUUUCUCCCUGAGGUAACCAUACCCUGGAAGGAAAGAGUGUCUGCCACCAGCCUGACUUAGUGGUAGGGAGGUGGGAGAGCCAAGAAGAUCUCUGCCCCAGGGCCUAUGGUUACUCUCUUAUGAUCUGUUCUCUGGUGACUGUCAGCUUGAAAAGGAUAGCUCUCCACUUCCCAAGGACUACCAAUCCUUUCUGUCCUCUAACCAGGGUGCACUCUUCAAAACCCCAGGAGUGAAACCUCUUGAGCCCUUGUGAAGCCUGCAAUGUCUGGUUUGUACAAAGAGAAAGCUGGUUCAGGCCUCAGGGUCUCCUGGCCUGAAAUUCUAUAGGCAGAGGCAGAGAGUCCCUAGAGGCUUCUCAAGGGACCAGCCCAGCCCCCAUUGCCUUCUCUAUAUGGAGCUUGUCUCACCUUUACUACACUUUUGAGAUACUUAUAUUUUUCCUACUUAGGUUGCUUCUGGAGCCUUGAGGCGCUUCCUCUUUAGCACAAGAUGUUUCAGACAGUCCCUGACAUGUCCUCUUACAUCAAGGUAAGAGUAGACAGCAUCUUUAAACAGGCAGUGAUCUCUGCAUAACUCCCACCUCUCCUGAAGACCUUUGAUCUGGUCUUUCUUUAUCCAGG
rnacentral:lncRNA from 1 species